UACGAAGGGAGCUAGCGUUGUUCGGAAUUACUGGGCGUAAAGCGCACGUAGGCGGAUUUGUAAGUCAGGGGUGAAAUCCCGGGGCUCAACCUCGGAACUGCCUUUGAUACUGCAAAUCUCGAGUCCGGAAGAGGUGAGUGGAAUUCCUAGUGUAGAGGUGAAAUUCGUAGAUAUUAGGAAGAACACCAGUGGCGAAGGCGGCUCACUGGUCCGGUACUGACGCUGAGGUGCGAAAGCGUGGGGAGCAAACAGGG
rnacentral:rRNA from 1 species